GACACAAUGACGUCAAAUGAAUCGAGAGUGCCUAAAGGGAAAGCUUGUACUUCAGAGCCUAGGCAUCCUCUUCCCAGGUCACUGUUUCCAAGCCACAGAACGUGGCCGCCCUGAAAAUAGAGAUACCAGCAGCUGCCUGAAGGAUGAAAAGGAGGGGUGGGGAAAGGAGAACGAAAAAGAGGUAGAAAGAUAAAACUGGAUAUUUCCUCCUUAGAAUGGAAAAGUAUGAAACAGAUCAGAGAAGAUUAAGCCCCCAAAGGGGGGAAAAAAGAAAGAAAGUAGGAAGAUCAAGGACGUUAUUGACAGAGUUUUGGCAGAUAAAGGAAUAUCUCUCUCUGUAAUAAAGGAUCCCUUAACUUGACAGUUGGUUAGCAUGCCUCAAACUGGAAUGGGAGGUGUCAUUCUAAGCAAAUCGCUGAUUAAGCAUAGGAACCGAGGCCACAGCAUCAAUUGAUCACUCAAUCAAUAGUGUUGUUUGAGUGCUUACUGUGUAAAGAGCCAAAGAAAGAUGCAAAGACCUGAUCCACUGGAGAAGAACAAAGUCUGAAGUGAUGAAUAGAACAUUUCCUCCUGAAAUCCACUGGUUCUUCCAAAUUGGGGUGAUUAGUAACUUCCACUGAAGAGAUCAAUACUUCCAUGUUACUCACAAGUAAAAAAAAAAGGUUAGUGCUACUGGCAUUGCAUUAGACAAAAUUCUAUUUAUUGCUAUUGUUCUUGUCUGUCUGUCUCCCCCAGUUAGACUGUAAGCUCGUCAAAGGGCAGGGACUGUCUCUAUCUGUUACCGAUUUGUACAUUCCAAGCGUUUAGUACAGUGCUCUGCACAUAGUAAGCACUCAAUAAAUACUAUUGAAUGAAU
rnacentral:lncRNA from 1 species